UUCCAUUGACCCCCAUCCCCCUUGCAAGAAUGGCAGAACAAAGAGCAGAAAAGGCCCUGGCUCUGUGUCCAGUUGUAUUUGUGCAGUGCCUGACUUGAAGAGGAUACUCAUAUGGACAGUUUACUUGUAUCUAACAGCAUCUGUCCACAGAGCAGUGCAAGGAUGUCUGAAAAGUCCCCCAGACUUACUAAUUCCUAGCAGACCCAGCAGGAUGAUUGUAUUGUACCAUGAUAUCAAGGAGCCAUCUUUCAUGGAGUUAUGAUGCUAAGGCUCAAAGAGGGAUACAG